UCCCAGGGAGAGGAAAACUUCUUUCCUUUUUUGCUGGCAAAUGGGAGGGCAAAACUCAUGGAAAUAACAUGGAGAUUCCGUGCGGGGGCCGCAAAAAUAGCAUGCGGACAUCCGUGCCUGAGGUCCUACACAGAUGCGCGUGUAUACUUAAACGCAUUGCAAAAUGGAAAUACACGUAGAUUUACUAUGCGGACGUAAAUCCGCAUAAAAAUCUCUAGGACAACUGGCGUUUCGCCCCUGAUAGAGGGAGCAGACGGCCACUUUAUCUCCACGUGUAGGGUCAAGAUCCCGUUCAUCGAUCUCCCUCGGCGACGUUAGAUGCAGCCAAGGAAACCCCGAAUCCGAACGCCCAAUCCACGGGCCCUGACCUCCUCGUCCUCCGCCCCCACCGCCGCUGGCGGAGGAGAUGGUGAGCUGGCGGUUGGUGGUGGAAGGAACGGCUGGCGCUGGGAACAAAGGCUGGAGACGUGAGCUUUUCAGCUCUUCCCGGGACGGCUACGGACGCCUGGUGAUGGGUCCGAGCAUCGCCUGCAGGGGUUUCUUAAAUCCGCCAUUUUCGUAAUUUUCCAUCAAUGGUUUGGUUAUCAUGUUGGUGAAGAUGCAAAUCCACUUGUUGCCAAUAAGGCAAGGGAUCUGCUUGUCAACUGUGUCGUCAAAGCAACUGAAGCAGAAGGGACACAAAUACAAAGAAGGGAAGUUCCAAGAUCCUUCAAUGAUAUCCACUAGAGGCAUGAUGUUUGUGUUUACUCUUUUUCCAUUCUCUUUGCAUUGUCUAUUGCAUGUGUAAGUUUGAGAUCAAGGGAGGCUAGUCCACCCAAUUUAUCAAGAUGAAUAAAUAAAAAGGGGUGAAGGAAGAUAGCAUUGUAACAGAGAGUCAAACACUACCCAGAUGAAAGGAAAGGAAAAGAAUUGGGGAUCAUGAGAGAUCAAUCCCGGAAGGUUACUGCAGAAGAUUCCUGUCUGAGUAGGCUUCAACCCUAGGAGACCAAAUGUUUGUUGCAACCAUUGAACAGAGUCGUUGAACAGAAGAGUAGAUUUAAGACAGAGCCCCUCAAUGCAGCAAUGGAGUGACAGUUGGAGAAUGCGGUUUUUGCAAAUCCAGGAAGAUGUUUGUGGCAGCAAAGGAGAGACGAAUCAUUGAGAAGGUGAAUUCCUUUGUAAGCAGUAGAAUCAGCUGAAAAGCUUUUGUCAAGAAAAAUCCUAGAGUUUCUCUCCUUCCAACAGCUCCAAAUGAUUGCUGCUAUUAGCAUGAAGAUAACCAACUGGAGGCCUUUGUGGAAGUGAUGAAACUCGAUCCAGUGCAAAGAUCCACUAGAUUCUUGUGUAGAGAGGGGACUCCUAGCCGAGCACAAAUGCGAUCCCAAAUAUGCCUAGCAAAAGGACAUGAAAUAAGAAUGUGGUCCACUGUUUCUACAGGGCAGCCGAGUAAGCCACAGAUCAUUAGAGAAGGCCAGGGAAAUUAAGAAUGUGGUCCACUGUUCUAUAAUAGUUUGACAAGAGAAAUUAAAGACAUGAAUUAUGAAUGGCUUUGUUCAGGAAAAGACAUGCUUUGUAGAAGGUACGAGUAACCUUGCCCAAUGAUUUUGAUUAGAGGUGUCUAAUUGAUCCACUUGAUGCAAUGAAACUUUUGGCAUUCCGCAGCUGUAUUGUUUGUGAAGAAAGGUUUUCUGAUGUCACAGCUUCAAUCACCGAAGGACAGUAUUGUAAAACAAGAAUGAAAGUUGGAUAAAGGAAGUGGUGAAGGAGAAAGAAAAGAAAGUACACAAACAUGUUUAUGCAAACAUAUUCCUCUAUGAAGAAGAAAAGAAGAAAACACUAUAAAUUUUCUAAGUCAAACCUAAUGUUGACUUAUUUUCACAUUUCAGGAACAACUUUAGACUUGAUUGCCAGAGGAUUAGUAAUAUGUCAAAAAACAGGAGUAGGCCAGCUACUUAUAUCACCGAGUUGAUCAAGAGAAAAGUCAACGAGUCCUGGUCUGUGUCAUCUGUCUCGUCUUUAACUAGAAUUUCUGUAACCUGUUAAAGAGACAAUGAUAAAAUUGUGAUAAAAAGCUCCUUUUUCUGCUGGGCGUAUCAAGGGAAGAAUAUUGGUGGUCUUCAUGCAAGCUUGUCCUUACAGUAUAUAACAGAUCUGUUAAGAGGGAAGUAAGAUGUGCCGAGGAGAAUUUGACAGGUAAAGAAGAACAGAAACAGAUAGAUUAUGGAAAAGAACAACUGAAUGUGGCAUCUUUGAAUUUGCGAAGCAAAGAUAUUAGAUGAAAAAUGUACUAAAGCUACAGAUGGUACAUGUUUUCUUUUUUUUGUUUGGUAAAAAUAUUACAUGUUUUCUUCGUAGAUGGGCUUGUCCAAUUGUUUAAGAUAAGCAUGAUGUAAAUGUAGUAAUUUAGCCUAUUUGGUGAUAUGUUUUGAGCCAAAAUAUUCCCAAUUUCAUACA